rnacentral:lncRNA from 10 species
CUCCUGAGGUGGAGUACGGACCAGUUGACAACAGGGCUCCUUUUCACCUCCACGCCCAACCUUUUCCAUUUCUCCUCAAACGGUUUUGGAGAAGGGCGGAGUCAUAUCAUUUUAAAGGAAACUUGGAACCUCACCAAUACAAACGCUGGUCGAAUGUUCCCAGAAACUUCCCUGCAUUAGCUCUACCGGGCGCGGGGAGCAGAAAGCGCAUUUCCUGAGUCCUGAAAAGCGCGUGCGCGCCUGUGUGCUGCCGGCGUUUGGGCGCGCCUGCUUGUAGUUUGCUCUGUCGCCCAGGAUGGAGUGCAGUGCAGUGGCGCGAUCCUGCAACCUCCGCCUCUCGAGUUCAAGCGAUUCUCCUGCCUCAGCCUCCCGAGUAGCUGGGAUUACAGACGCGCGCCACCCCACCCAGAUGAUCUUUUUAAAUGCAAAAUGCCAUCGACGCAGAAAAUCAAAGUUCUGUUAAUGGGAGAUUCAAG